rnacentral:rRNA from 1 species
UGGUUUGCUUAGGAGGUGGAGGAGGGGACGAGAGCGGUAGCGGGCGUCUCGAGGUGGGUUAGGGAGCGAGCGAGCCACUCUAGGUUCCGCCGGCGCAGCCGACCCUCGCCUGGGUGCGCCCUCCUCCUCAAGCCGCUCGUACUCGACCUCCACCGUCGGUAAGAGCGCCUGGACAGCAGGUAGCACGCCCGGUCGUCGUCCUCGUCCGCGCCGGCCUCUAGGGGAGCACCUCGGCCGCGGCCGGCUCCUUCCGGGAUCGCCGAGGCGGCCGGUUCUUCGGGCGCCGGCUAUCGGGCCUGUGGGACGAGCGGAAGGAGCUGCUGCUGCUCCGCCGCCGUCGCGUACUGUUCAGCCGCGUCCUCGUCGCGCCGCUAAAACUGCUCAUCCUCUACCUCGCGCAGUGUUCGUGGAACCGACGUGGGACUCCAAUAGGUAGUCCGUUUGACAGUAGCGUGACAGCAAGUGCUACGACGAGGGUUCGGAGGGCUGCUCUAACUGAGAAAGUGUUUAGUACAGUUGCUCUGAUCGUUAAACUUCUCCGACGACGUGUACUAUACUUCUAUAACCGUAUAUGUCAGGGUUAGUAUUCAAAGUUUUAUCGUCCACACCUCAAAUCGGGACAAGGCGACAUACCUUUCGGUACUGGAGGUGUAUCUACUACGUUCUCCUUUGUUCGAUCUGAGUGUUGAAACCAAAAGUCCGUAGAAGUGGUUGUUUAUAAUGGGACGUUUAGUUCCUGAAAUCUCGGACCAGCGUCUGGAGUGCCUCGUGGUUGCUAUCGGAGUUCCACUAAGUCGUCUCGUUCCACUACUCAUGAGUCGACCGACCGGUUAUAGUUACUAGAAUAGCCGGCCGUUUCGCCUCUGCCUGCUGGUGCCAGGGCUGGAACGGUCGUCCGCCUCUGUUAUUUACCCUAGUUCCCUUCAACCAGCCCGAGGUCGCCGUGUACGAAUGGUGACGACUGACAACGGCCCUUUCCAUACAACCAAACUAAGAAAGUUCUAGGGUUUGAUUUUGUUCAGUGGACACUGUAAACUUACUACGUUUCCAAACAACAGAGAAGGGUUCUUUAACACACGUCUCUUCGACGGAACUAAAAUGUACGACUUGGAUAAAAACGUAUUAGUUUGUGACUGCUAUUCUCUCUACUUACACGUCAUACGAUUUAAACCCAUAGGUUAACGUUUUCUUAACCUAAUAAUAAAUGUAAUCUUCGGUCCAAUAGUGAUACAUAAAAUUUAACUAGCGAGUACCUGGCGAGUUAACCGGUAUUUGUGUUGUAUUAAGCUAGGGAGGGAAGUUUAACCGUUGAUUUCCCUUCCACUCAAUUUUACAGAGUCGGGGACACUGGACCGACCAAUACAAAUAUAAUGUAGGUUAUAAUACACAUGAGUAAACUAGAUUCCAAUAAAAAUUAUUGAACAAAAAAAACAGUGCUUGUUUAGCUACUUGGCCGCCAGGUUGGCCACUGUCUGCGUUGCCAAGUCAACGGGCAAGCCAAAAUUUUUUAUAUCGGGCUACCGGUACCACCUUCUUGUGUUGUACUUCACGAAACAUAGGGCUCUUGCUGCUCCUCUGUACUCGUCGGCCACCGUCACGAAGCGUGAAGCUCGUCAUCCCUAUGAACUAGUAUCCCUUUCCCUUCCCUCUACUCAAGCACGAACGUACUAAAAAUCCCUUUCUCGCACACAUAACAUGAAGACACACGUACUUCACAAAACAAACCCGGUUCGGGUUUAUUACUUUUAUUUUGUGAUAGAGAUUUUGAUAAGUUUAGGA